CUCUCCUACAGGUGGUCUCUCUGGGGAAGAACGCCCGUGGAUACCACUACAUCCUGUCUAACCUGGGUUUCUCCAAUGUGAGCUUGGACAAGGUCUUCCAAGGCGGGGCCAACAUAUCAGGCUUCCAGAUAGUGAACCCUGAGAACCCCAUCGUUCAACAGUUCCUACAGCGCUGGGAGAGACUGGAUGAAAGGGAAUUCCCAGAGGCCAAGAACACCCCGCUCAAGUACACGUCAGCUCGACCCACGAUGCCAUCCUGGUGAUCGCGGAGGCGUUCCGGUACCUGCGGCGCCAACAGGGUAGACGUGU